rnacentral:tRNA from 1 species
AAUAGAUUGCCUGAAAAUUUUAAAAGGAUUAUUUUGAUAGAAUAAAUUAUAUAGUGUAUACUAUAUCUAUUA